UACGGGGGGGGCAAGCGUUGUUCGGAAUUACUGGGCGUAAAGGGCGCGUAGGCGGCCUUCUAAGUCGGACGUGAAAUCCCUCGGCUUAACCGAGGAACGCGUCCGAGACUGAAAGGCUUGAAUCCGGGAGAGGGAUGUGGAAUUCCAGGUGUAGCGGUGAAAUGCGUAGAUAUCGUAAGGAAGACCAGUGGCGAAGGCGAGUUCCGUGGACAGUUACUGACACUGAGGCACGAAGGCCAGGGGAGCGAAACGGG
rnacentral:rRNA from 1 species